CCCACCCGCCGAUGCCCGCCUCCUGCCGCAGGGCUUGCCUGGUCCCGCUUCCGCAGCCUGGCCGAGUCCCAAUCGCGUCCUCACCCGCGACCCUGCAGCCGCGCGGGCCCGCCUCUGGGCUCCCUGCUGCGGCCCUCUGCUAAGCUGACCCAGCUCUGCGGCUCCGUCUACACCCCGCCGUACAGCAAACAACAACAAUAACAACUCAACCAGGGUGUAGAAUCUCAAGUGGAAUUAUACUGGGAUUGCAACUUGGAAAACAGAAGUUACAUUUCAUUCCUUUCAGAAAAACGGAGGAAGGGAGUUCUAAGCCAAGGAAGUAUUCCUUUAAAAAAGAGUUCAAGAGGCCAACACUGAUGAAGAUGAGAAUGUCUCGAGCUGGGCCAGUUAAGAAACUUCAUUAAGAUCGAGUACCUGUUUGUUUUCAUUUGAUACAAAAUAACCUCCCGAAAAUUGGCCUUUCCUUUAAGGCAGAGCUACAGGGACAAAGGAGAAUGCACUAAUAAGAUCUCCUCAGGUUGCCAGGAUUCGAGGAACACAACACUGCAUCUGACCUUUUGGUUGGACCAGGAAGUGAACCCAGGCCUCCCAUAGGUCUCCAGCAGUACACUCCCCCAUGGCUAGGCACUGGAGUUCCUUUUACAAGGGAUUUAUCAGCGAUGACUCAUCAAUGUGAAAAACCACCAAGUGAGCAUCAAUAAGGGCAAUCUCUGUUGAAUGCCAAAGGGAGCAAUGCUGGUUGUCUGCUGCUAUCUUUCCCUGCAUGCCAGAACUUCACUGGGGUAAAUCCAGCAAGCACUGAACACAAAUACAGGUGGCUCAGUAAAGUUGUGGCUUAUGACUAACGAGAGGUGGAAAAAGAACCAGCGUGAAACAUAAUGCCAGGGCAAGCGACAGCACAGUCUGGGUGGCUACACCUCACAGAGGAAAAACACAGGGUGUUGGAAGAAAGGCAUUUGAUGUACUCAGUCAAGUUCUCCUGCUUGGUAGUGUUUCCAGUUGCCAAAUGCUUUCCAUUGUGACCCUGAACAAGGAAGUGAUAAACUGGGACAAAGCUCAAGACAUCUCCCCCCUGCUCUGGGCAACAACAGAACUAGCAUGAAAAUGGCCUGUUGGCUAUUUCACCCAACUACGUGUCUCAUCUAAAAAUAAAAGCCAAGUACACACCUCUUAGU